UGGGGAAUUUUGGACAAUGGGGGAAACCCUGAUCCAGCCAUCCCGCGUGUGCGAUGAAGGCCUUCGGGUUGUAAAGCACUUUUGGCAGGAAAGAAACGUCAUGGGUUAAUACCCCCUGAAACUGACGGUACCUGCAGAAUAAGCACCGGCUAACUACGUGCCAGCAGCCGCGGUAAUACGUAGGGUGCAAGCGUUAAUCGGAAUUACUGGGCGUAAAGCGUGCGCAGGCGGUUCGGAAAGAAAGAUGUGAAAUCCCAGAGCUCAACUUUGGAACUGCAUUUUUAACUACCGGGCUAGAGUGUGUCAGAGGGAGGUGGAAUUCCGCGUGUAGCAGUGAAAUGCGUAGAUAUGCGGAGGAACACCGAUGGCGAAGGCAGCCUCCUGGGAUAACACUGACGCUCAUGCACGAAAGCGUGGGGAGCAAACAGG
rnacentral:rRNA from 1 species